rnacentral:lncRNA from 1 species
AUAUCACGCUGUACUCUAGCUAAGGACUGGGAAGCAAGUCUAUCCAAGGCUCCUUCAUGUAACCACGCGGCAGUUGGCAGGCACUAGUCCUAGACAACUGAGUUCUCCCUGAAGAAGAGUUAAAGCAAAAUAAAAACUCACAAAAAGGAAAACAACACGAAUAAAAAGAACUAGCAUGGGACCUAAAGGACGUUGCUGAACAAGGAAAAGAGCCCAUCAGGUAGAAGACCCAGAGGAACACCAGGCCUCUGAAAACUAUUUCUGAACCUAAAAUAAAGAUAUUUAGAAAACUG